UACGUAGGGUGCGAGCGUUAAUCGGAAUUACUGGGCGUAAAGCGUGCGCAGGCGGUUUUGUAAGCCAGAUGUGAAAUCCCCGGGCUUAACCUGGGAAUGGCAUUUGGGACUGCAAGGCUUGAGUGCGGCAGAGGAGACUGGAAUUUACGGUGUAGCAGUGAAAUGCGUAGAGAUCGUAAGGAAGGCCAGUGGCGAAGGCGGGUCUCUGGACAGUUCCUGACACUGAGGCACGAAGGCCAGGGAGCAAACGGG
rnacentral:rRNA from 1 species